GAGCCCAUAGCUCAGUGGUUAGGGCGCCGGCCAUAUACACAGAGAAUGGCGGGUUUGAACCCUGCUGGGCCUG
rnacentral:tRNA from 1 species